rnacentral:rRNA from 1 species
GUCUACUGCCAUACCACCCGGAACACGCCCGAUUUCGUCUGAUCUUGGAAGCUAAGUAGGGUCAGGCCUGGUUGGUACCUGGAUGGGAGAAUAGUUGCUUCAAAAGAGCCUGGGGGCUGAGCACA